AGAGAGAGACAUGCGCGCAUAUCAAUAAGCGGAGGAAAAGGAAACUAACAAGGAUUCCCUUAGUAACGGCGAGUGAAGCGGGAAGAGCUCAAAUUUGAAAUCUUCAAGGUUCUACCUUGACGAAUUGUAGUUUAUAGAAGUGUUUUCUGUUAGUGGAGUGGCAAAAGUUCUUUGGAAUAGGACAUCAUAGAGGGUGAGAAUCCCGUAUUUGGUCAUUCCUCCUAGCGUUGUGAUACACUUUCAACGAGUCGGAUUGUUUGGGAAUGCAGUCCAAAAUGGGUGGUAAAUUUCAUCUAAAGCUAAAUAUUGGCGAGAGACCGAUAGCGAACAAGUACCGUGAGGGAAAGAUGAAAAGAACUUUGAAAAGAGAGUUAAACAGUACGUGAAAUUGUCAAAAGGGAAGCGUUUGACACCAGUGUUGUUUUUCCGAAAAUCAAUUACGAAUGUUUUAUUUUUGAGGAGUUAUGACUUCAUCGGCUUGCUCCUUUCUUUAUGAAACUUUCUUAAUGCACUUUUCGGUUAACAAGUCAACAUCAAUUUCUUUUGUUGUAAAAGGGUAUGAGGAAGGUGGCUUUCUUUUCGGAGAAAGUGUUUAUAGCCUUGUGCCUCUGCAAUCGGAGAGAUUGAGGUCUGCAGCGUAGAUCCUUCGGGGUUAGAUACGUUUGUGCUAAGUUAUAGCUUUUCAUAGACAACUUGUUGACUAUGUUUAGUCUUGUAGCUUACUCGCUGACGCUAUUUUACCUACGCUUAGGAUGUUGAUAGUCACAGCGUGUAC
rnacentral:rRNA from 1 species